CCUACGGGAGGCAGCAGUGGGGAAUCUUGGACAAUGGGGGCAACCCUGAUCCAGCCAUGCCGCGUGAGUGAUGAAGGCCUUAGGGUCGUAAAGCUCUUUCGCCUGUGAAGAUAAUGACGGUAGCAGGUAAAGAAACCCCGGCUAACUCCGUGCCAGCAGCCGCGGUAAUACGGAGGGGGUUAGCGUUGUUCGGAAUUACUGGGCGUAAAGCGCACGUAGGCGGAUCGGAAAGUUGGGGGUGAAAUCCCGGGGCUCAACCCCGGAACUGCCUCCAAAACUAUCGGUCUAGAGUUCGAGGGAGGUGAGUGGAAUUCCGAGUGUAGAGGUGAAAUUCGUAGAUAUUCGGAGGAACACCAGUGGCGAAGGCGGCUCACUGGCUCGAUACUGACGCUGAGGUGCGAAAGUGUGGGGAGCAAACAGGAUUAGAUACCCUGGUAGUCCACACCGUAAACGAUGAAUGCCAGUCGUCGGGUAGCAUGCUAUUCGGUGACACACCUAACGGAUUAAGCAUUCCGCCUGGGGAGUACAGUCGCAAGAUUAAAACUCAAAUGAAUUGACGGA
rnacentral:rRNA from 1 species